CCUACGUGUGGCAGCAGUGAGGAAUAUUGGUCAAUGGCCGGAAGGCUGAACCAGCCAAGCCGCGUGAAGUACGAAGGUGCCAAGCAUUGUAAACUUCUUUUGUCAAGGGACAAAAUCAGGCUCGAGAGCCUGACCGAGUGUACUUGAAGAAAAAGCAUCGGCUAACUCCGGGCCAGCAGCCGCGGUAAUACGGGGGAUGCAAGCGUGAUCCGGAUUUAUUGGGUUUAAAGGGUGCGUAGGCUGUGAGGUAAGUCAGCGGGGAAAUGCCACCGCUCAAGGGGGUGAAGUGACUUUGAUACUGCCUUGCUGGAGUGCGGAUGCGGUGGGAGGAAUGUGUGGUGUAGCGGUGAAAUGCAUAGAGAUCACGCAGAACACCGAUUGCGAAGGCAUCUCACGAAUCCGCGAUUGACGCUGAUGCACGAAAGCGUGGGUAUCAAACAGGAUUAGAUACCCCUGUAGUC
rnacentral:rRNA from 1 species